rnacentral:ncRNA from 1 species
AACAAAGAUAAAAACACAACGCAGAAGAAACUCUGCCAGAGCCGGUAGGUAGUCCGGCCGCAUCUUAAAAUUAACAGAUGUAAGUACCCCUCCCUCCUUGGGCCGUCCGUUCUUUGUUCAUAU